rnacentral:lncRNA from 1 species
CCGCGCCCCCUCGUGACCCCGUCCGCCCUCGUGGCCGCGCCCGGGCUGCACCACGAUUGGGGGUCAGACUCCCCGCAGAGGUUCCUGAGUUGGAGCCUUGAAUUAAAAACCAUUGCAACCUACCCUCCCCGCCCUAAUGAAAUCUACCACAGGUACUGGUACCACAUUGCCCAGAACAGGUGAAAUAUUUUCAAUGUCUUACUGGAUCGCUGAUGCCCUAGCUCAAUCUGCAGUAAAGCUGAUAAUGAUGCCCAUCUCAUUCCUGCAUCUACUUCUCAAUCGCUUCCUAAUCCAGAGAGGCGCACUCUGAUUAUCACCAUGGAAUUAGGAGAAGUCAGUAAUAACAAUUAUCAUCUUGAUAAGUGUCUAAGAAGUACUGGAUGCCCUGUACGUACAAAGCAGAUUACCUGGCACUGUACGAGACAUUCAUGCAGUAAAACACAAACCUAUGACCUCAGGGAGU